UACGUAGGGACCGAGCGUUGUCCGGAAUCAUUGGGCGUAAAGAGCGUGUAGGCGGCCACUUAAGUCCUGCGUGAAAUCUUGCGGCUCAACCGCAAGCGGUCGUGGGAAACUGGGUGGCUAGAGUGCGGGAGAGGAGAGUGGAAUUCCUGGUGUAGCGGUGGAAUGCGCAGAUAUCAGGAAGAACACCCGUGGCGAAGGCGGCUCUCUGGAACGCAACUGACGCUGAGACGCGAAAGUGUGGGGAUCAAACAGG
rnacentral:rRNA from 1 species